GUUGAAACACCGGUCCCCGCAAGAUCAUCGAAGUUAAGCAAUGUCAAACCUGAUCAGUACUUUGAUGAGUGACCGCUUGGGAAUACCAGAUGCU